rnacentral:rRNA from 1 species
GGACGAACGCUGGCGGCGCGCUUAACACAUGCAAGUCGAACGGAAAGGCCUGCUUUCCCUUGUGGAUUGCGGGUACUCGAGUGGCGAACGGGUGAGUAACACGUGAGUGAUCUGCCCCCAACUUGGGUAUAAGCCUGGGAAACUGGGUCUAAUUCCCGAUAGGACUGCAGGGUGGUGCCUGUGGUGGAAAACGAUUUUCUAGUGGUUGGGGAUGAGCUCGCGGCCUAUCAGCUUGUUGGUGGGGUAAUGGCCUACCAAGGCGGCGACGGGUAGCCGGCCUGGGAGGGUGGACGGCCACAUUGGGACUGAGAUACGGCCCAGACUCCUACGGGAGGCAGCAGUGGGGAAUAUUGCACAAUGGGCGGAAGCCUGAUGCAGCGACGCCGCGUGGGGGAUGACGGCCUUCGGGUUGUAAACUCCUUUCGACCGCGAGGAAGCCACCUGGUUGGAAGGGUGGUGACGGUAGUGGUAGAAGAAGCACCGGCUAACUACGUG